AUUGAACGCUGGCGGCAUGCCUUACACAUGCAAGUCGAACGCAUCCUUCGGGGUGAGUGGCAGACGGGUGAGUAACGCGUGGGAACGUGCCCUUCAGUUCGGGAUAACCCAGGGAAACUUGGGCUAAUACCGGAUACGUGCGAGAGCAGAAAGAUUUAUCGCUGAAGGAUCGGCCCGCGUCUGAUUAGCUAGUUGGUGGGGUAAUGGCCCACCAAGGCGACGAUCAGUAGCUGGUCUGAGAGGAUGAUCAGCCACAUUGGGACUGAGACACGGCCCAAACUCCUACGGGAGGCAGCAGUGGGGAAUAUUGGACAAUGGGCGCAAGCCUGAUCCAGCCAUGCCGCGUGAGUGAUGAAGGCCUUAGGGUUGUAAAGCUCUUUCGUCCGGGACGAUAAUGAUGGUACCGGAAGAAGAAGCCCCGGCUAACUUCGUGCCAGCAGCCGCAGUAA
rnacentral:rRNA from 1 species